rnacentral:sRNA from 1 species
CCUGUUUGUCCGCCACUGUUUGAAAACAGUUGGCGCCGCCGCCGCCGGGGCCUCAGUUCCAGGUCAGUCCCCGGCCUGACGCGGCGUUGCGUCCCCCGGGAGCUGCGCUAGGCGAACGGCUGCGGCGCUUUGUGCUCCAGUCGCUCCUAACGCUCCCUGGCCCGGCAGGGGCCGCGCAGUUAGGGCAUCUGAGGCGGGGAGAAGCGGCGGGGAGACGCCGGCUGCCAGCAUGUCGCUGCCUCCGGAGAAAGCCUCCGAGCUGAAGCAACUCAUCCACCAGCAGCUGAGCAAGAUGGAUGUCCAUGGUAGAAUAAGAGAAAUCCUUGCCGAGACUAUACGGGAAGAAUUGGCACCUGAUCAACAACAUUUAUCAACAGAAGAUUUGAUCAAAGCCCUUAGACGUCGAGGAAUCAUUGACGAUGUGAUGAAAGAACUUAAUUUUGUUACUGACAGUGUUGAGCAAGAACUCCCUUCCUCUCCAAAACAACCUAUUUGUUUUGAUAGACAAUCGACAUUAAAAAAAAGUUUUGGGUGGAAAAGCUUUCUUGGAACAUCUGCAAGAACCUGAGCCUUUACCUGGACAAGUUUGUUCAACGUUUACUUUAUGUUUACAUUAUCGAAACCAACGUUUUCGUUCUAAACCUGUUGCAUGUGCCUGUGAACCAGAUUUUCAUGAUGGCUUUUUACUUGAAGUCCACAGAGAAAGCUUGGGUAAGAAACAGUAAUAAAUUGUCAUUUAAUUGAGUAAAUCUUUGUUAUGUUUUAUUGUGAAACAAUAAUAAUGACUUUUUCCGUAAGGAGAGCUUUAUAAUGGAGGAAUCUAUUUUGUUUCCCACUGCUCUUUUCAAUUUAAACUACUAUCUACCUUCUUGCAAUAUUCUGUUUGCUAUUCAUU